rnacentral:rRNA from 1 species
UACGUAGGGACCGAGCGUUGUCCGGAUUCAUUGGGCGUAAAGAGCUCGUAGGCGGCUGUUCAAGUCGAACGUGAAAACUCGGAGCUCAACUCCGAGCCUGCGUUCGAUACUGGACGGCUAGAGUCUGGUAGGGGGAUCUGGAAUUCCUGGUGUAGCGGUGGAAUGCGCAGAUAUCAGGAAGAACACCCGUGGCGAAGGCGGCUCUCUGGGACGUGACUGACGCUGAGACGCGAAAGCGUGGGGAGCGAACAGG